rnacentral:rRNA from 1 species
UACGUAGGGACCAAGCGUUGUUCGGAUUUACUGGGCGUAAAGGGCGCGUAGGCGGCAUGACAAGUCACUUGUGAAAUCUCCGGGCUUAACUCGGAACGGUCAAGUGAUACUGUCGCGCUAGAGUGCGGAAGGGGCAAUCAGAAUUCUUGGUGUAGCGGUGAAAUGCGUAGAGAUCAAGAGGAAUACCUGAGGUGAAGACGGGUUGCUAGGCCGACACUGACGCUGAAGCGCGAAAGCCAGGGGAGCAAACGGG